rnacentral:rRNA from 1 species
GGGUUGUGAGGUUAAGCGACUAAGCGUACACGGUGGAUGCCCUGGCAGUCAGAGGCGAUGAAGGACGUGCUAAUCUGCGAUAAGCGUCGGUAAGGUGAUAUGAACCGUUAUAACCGGCGAUUUCCGAAUGGGGAAACCCAGUGUGUUUCGACACACUAUCAUUAACUGAAUCCAUAGGUUAAUGAGGCGAACCGGGGGAACUGAAACAUCUAAGUACCCCGAGGAAAAGAAAUCAACCGAGAUUCCCCCAGUAGCGGCGAGCGAACGGGGAGCAGCCCAGAGCCUGAAUCAGUGUGUGUGUUAGUGGAAGCGUCUGGAAAGGCGCGCGAUACAGGGUGACAGCCCCGUACACAAAAAUGCACAUGCUGUGAGCUCGAUGAGUAGGGCGGGACACGUGGUAUCCUGUCUGAAUAUGGGGGGACCAUCCUCCAAGGCUAAAUACUCCUGACUGACCGAUAGUGAACCAGUACCGUGAGGGAAAGGCGAAAAGAACCCCGGCGAGGGGAGUGAAAAAGAACCUGAAACCGUGUACGUACAAGCAGUGGGAGCACGCUUAGGCGUGUGACUGCGUACCUUUUGUAUAAUGGGUCAGCGACUUAUAUUCUGUAGCAAGGUUAACCGAAUAGGGGAGCCGAAGGGAAACCGAGUCUUAACUGGGCGUUAAGUUGCAGGGUAUAGACCCGAAACCCGGUGAUCUAGCCAUGGGCAGGUUGAAGGUUGGGUAACACUAACUGGAGGACCGAACCGACUAAUGUUGAAAAAUUAGCGGAUGACUUGUGGCUGGGGGUGAAAGGCCAAUCAAACCGGGAGAUAGCUGGUUCUCCCCGAAAGCUAUUUAGGUAGCGCCUCGUGAAUUCAUCUCCGGGGGUAGAGCACUGUUUCGGCAAGGGGGUCAUCCCGACUUACCAACCCGAUGCAAACUGCGAAUACCGGAGAAUGUUAUCACGGGAGACACACGGCGGGUGCUAACGUCCGUCGUGAAGAGGGAAACAACCCAGACCGCCAGCUAAGGUCCCAAAGUCAUGGUUAAGUGGGAAACGAUGUGGGAAGGCCCAGACAGCCAGGAUGUUGGCUUAGAAGCAGCCAUCAUUUAAAGAAAGCGUAAUAGCUCACUGGUCGAGUCGGCCUGCGCGGAAGAUGUAACGGGGCUAAACCAUGCACCGAAGCUGCGGCAGCGACGCUUAUGCGUUGUUGGGUAGGGGAGCGUUCUGUAAGCCUGCGAAGGUGUGCUGUGAGGCAUGCUGGAGGUAUCAGAAGUGCGAAUGCUGACAUAAGUAACGAUAAAGCGGGUGAAAAGCCCGCUCGCCGGAAGACCAAGGGUUCCUGUCCAACGUUAAUCGGGGCAGGGUGAGUCGACCCCUAAGGCGAGGCCGAAAGGCGUAGUCGAUGGGAAACAGGUUAAUAUUCCUGUACUUGGUGUUACUGCGAAGGGGGGACGGAGAAGGCUAUGUUGGCCGGGCGACGGUUGUCCCGGUUUAAGCGUGUAGGCUGGUUUUCCAGGCAAAUCCGGAAAAUCAAGGCUGAGGCGUGAUGACGAGGCACUACGGUGCUGAAGCAACAAAUGCCCUGCUUCCAGGAAAAGCCUCUAAGCAUCAGGUAACAUCAAAUCGUACCCCAAACCGACACAGGUGGUCAGGUAGAGAAUACCAAGGCGCUUGAGAGAACUCGGGUGAAGGAACUAGGCAAAAUGGUGCCGUAACUUCGGGAGAAGGCACGCUGAUAUGUAGGUGAAGUCCCUUGCGGAUGGAGCUGAAAUCAGUCGAAGAUACCAGCUGGCUGCAACUGUUUAUUAAAAACACAGCACUGUGCAAACACGAAAGUGGACGUAUACGGUGUGACGCCUGCCCGGUGCCGGAAGGUUAAUUGAUGGGGUUAGCGCAAGCGAAGCUCUUGAUCGAAGCCCCGGUAAACGGCGGCCGUAACUAUAACGGUCCUAAGGUAGCGAAAUUCCUUGUCGGGUAAGUUCCGACCUGCACGAAUGGCGUAAUGAUGGCCAGGCUGUCUCCACCCGAGACUCAGUGAAAUUGAACUCGCUGUGAAGAUGCAGUGUACCCGCGGCAAGACGGAAAGACCCCGUGAACCUUUACUAUAGCUUGACACUGAACAUUGAGCCUUGAUGUGUAGGAUAGGUGGGAGGCUUUGAAGUGUGGACGCCAGUCUGCAUGGAGCCGACCUUGAAAUACCACCCUUUAAUGUUUGAUGUUCUAACGUUGACCCGUGAUCCGGGUUGCGGACAGUGUCUGGUGGGUAGUUUGACUGGGGCGGUCUCCUCCUAAAGAGUAACGGAGGAGCACGAAGGUUGGCUAAUCCUGGUCGGACAUCAGGAGGUUAGUGCAAUGGCAUAAGCCAGCUUGACUGCGAGCGUGACGGCGCGAGCAGGUGCGAAAGCAGGUCAUAGUGAUCCGGUGGUUCUGAAUGGAAGGGCCAUCGCUCAACGGAUAAAAGGUACUCCGGGGAUAACAGGCUGAUACCGCCCAAGAGUUCAUAUCGACGGCGGUGUUUGGCACCUCGAUGUCGGCUCAUCACAUCCUGGGGCUGAAGUAGGUCCCAAAGGGUAUGGCUGUUCGCCAUUUAAAAGUGGUACGCGAGCUGGGUUUAGAACGUCGUGAGACAGUUCGGUCCCUAUCUGCCGUGGGCGCUGGAGAAUUGAGGGGGGCUGCUCCUAGUACGAGAGGACCGGAGUGGACGCAUCACUGGUGUUCGGGUUGUCAUGCCAAUGGCACUGCCCGGUAGCUAAAUGCGGAAGAGAUAAGUGCUGAAAGCAUCUAAGCACGAAACUUGCCCCGAGAUGAGUUCUCCCUGACUCCUUGAGAGUCCUGAAGGAACGUUGAAGACGACGACGUUGAUAGGCCGGGUGUGUAAGCGCAGCGAUGCGUUGAGCUAACCGGUACUAAUGAACCGUGAGGCUUAACCUUACAACGCCGAAG